UACGUAGGGCGCGAGCGUUGUCCGGAAUUAUUGGGCGUAAAGCGCGCGUAGGCGGCUUUGCAAGUCGGGUGUGAAAGCCCUCAGCUCAACUGAGGAAGGGCGCCCGAAACUGCAGAGCUUGAAUGCCGGAGAGGGUGGCGGAAUUCCCCAAGUAGAGGUGAAAUUCGUAGAUAUGGGGAGGAACACCGGUGGCGAAGGCGGCCACCUGGACGGUAACUGACGCUGAGGCGCGAAAGCGUGGGUAGCAAACAGG
rnacentral:rRNA from 1 species